GCUUCAGUGGUUUAGUGGUAAAAUUAAUCGUUGCCAUCGAUUAGCCCCGUGUUCGAUUCACGGCUGAUGCA